rnacentral:miRNA from 1 species
GCCUUCAACUUCAGGCGAGCAAAUAUUGAAUUAGUAUAGGUGAAGUGUUCUUGUGAAGAAUCUGUGAAAUCAAGAAUUUCUAGAAAGCACGCUGGCUAGAGAG